rnacentral:rRNA from 1 species
CCUACGGGGGGCAGCAGUAGGGAAUUUUCCACAAUGGGCGAAAGCCUGAUGGAGCAACGCCGCGUGGGUGAAGAAGGUCUUCGGAUCGUAAAACCCUGUUGUUAGAGAAGAAAGUGCGUGAGAGUAACUGUUCACGUUUCGACGGUAUCUACCCAGAAAGCCACGGCUAACUACGUGCCAGCAGCCGCGGUAAUACGUAGGUGGCAAGCGUUAUCCGGAUUUAUUGGGCGUAAAGGGAACGCAGGCGGUCUUUUAAGUCUGAUGUGAAAGCCUUCGGCUUAACCGGAGUAGUGCAUUGGAAACUGGGAGACUGGAGUGCAGAAGAGGAGAGUGGAACUCCAGGUGUAGCGGUGAAAUGCGUAGAUAUAUGGAAGAACACCAGUGGCGAAAGCGACUCUCUGGUCUGUAACUGACGCUGAGGUUCGAAAGCGUGGGUAGCAAACAGGAUUAGAUACCCUUGUAGUC